CAUUUCGUUUCUCAGUAUGUAUUCAUUCAGCUUCCAACAUCGACCCCCCUAUUACCGAGGCAUCUGCACUGUCAAAUACAUGAGCAGCGUUUUAUCUCAUAUCAGUGGUGUAAGACCAAACCGGCGUAUGGAAAAAAGAGCGGCAGCCACACGAAUUCGCCAUCUAUGAUCUAUUAAAAAUUGCAAUUAGAACUGAAACGGUGCAGAGACUAUUUGGAAAUAAUAAGCGAACUUCCACUUCAAAUUAGGGAUUUCCCAAUCUGAUGAUUAACUUCCACAUCACUCGCCACCGCCUUCAACUUCCAGCAUCAAGAUACCAAGUGGAGUCAAUAACCAUAAUUUCCUCAUUAAACUUUGGUGAUUUGACAAAAAUGAAAGACCUCGGAUCAUAGUUUUUAAACCUAGACCGGCCCGGUGGGUCGACUCGGGACCCGGUCGACCCAGUAGCCGGACCGGUCCGGGUUUACUAAAAAACCAUCUGGGGCAACAACUCGGCAAAACCCGGUCGAUCCAUGACCCAGACGACCCGGCAAACCCCUUACGAGACCCGGUGUUUUGGAGUUGGGUCCGCGAUCUAAGUUUGGAGAUCUUGAGGGUAGGCGUUGGUGAUCUAUUAAAAACUUCGAAUCCUUGUUGCGUUCUCGCUUUAUUACUUUGGACUUUCUAUUGCUGUUGAAGAAAGUGGCAACUCCACUCACUGCUCAUCUGCUACUGUUCCCAUUUGUUCCUUCUAGCUUAUGACUGUAACUUAAAUGGGACCAAACUCAGUUUCAAGAGAAAAAGAAAGGCAAUAGGAACGAAACUCACAGUUUCAAGAGAGAGAGAGAGGCAACAGGUAGUACCAGCACCAUCAAGUCUUUAACAUCUCUCUCUCUUUCUAGCUAAUGUUUUAAAGUAUGUACAAACCAGAUCGUGUUCAUGGAGGUGUCAAGGAGCAAGGACUGUGCUUCUGAGCUUUCAACAGAUCGUGUUCAUCCCUGCACAAAACAAAUGGUUCAAAAAAAAGAGACAGCUGGUUGCUUGUGAUGAAGCCAGAGAGGAAAGAUAAACUUUGUAAGGAGAUGGCAAUGAGAUUAAGUGCCCUUUCUCUGCACAAAACAACCGACAACAUCAUAUUUAUCCCUCUCCCACCCUGCCAGUCCUACUUCACCCCCUCAGCCUU
rnacentral:lncRNA from 1 species